AAGUCGUAACAAGGUUUCCGUAGGUGAACCUGCGGAAGGAUCAUUAACCUUUCAAAUCAGGGUGCGGCGCGGCCGCCGAGGAGCGGAAACAAUCCUUGGGAGGUAUGCGGGGGCUUCGAGCCCCCCAUUUACGCACGCACGACUGCCAUCCUUACUUUACGAGCACCUUCUGUUCUCCCUCGGCGGGGCAACCUGCCGUUGGAACCGAAUAAACUCUUUUUGCAUCUAGCAUUACCUGUUCCGAAACAAACAAUCGUUACAACUUUCAACAAUGGAUCUCUUGGCUCUG
rnacentral:misc_RNA from 1 species